AUUGAACGCUGGCGGCAGGCCUAACACAUGCAAGUCGAACGAGUGGCGGACGGGUGAGUAAUGUCUGGGAAACUGCCUGAUGGAGGGGGAUAACUACUGGAAACGGUAGCUAAUACCGCAUACCAUCAGAUGUGCCCAUAGGGGAUUAGCUAGGUGGUGGGGUAACGGCUCACCAAGGCGACGAUCCCUAGCUGGUCUGAGAGGAUGAACAGCCAAACUGGAACUGAGAAACGUUCCAGACUCCUACGGGAGGCAGCAGGGGGGAAUAUUGCACAAUGGGCGCAAGCCUGAUGCAGCCAUGCCGCGUGGAUGAAGAAGGCCUUCGGGUUGUAAAGUACUUUCAGCGGGGAGGCGUGACCCGCAGAAGAAGCACCGGCUAAGUCCGUGCCAGGAGCCGCGGUAAUAC
rnacentral:rRNA from 1 species